rnacentral:rRNA from 1 species
AACGAACGCUGGCGGCAGGCUUAACACAUGCAAGUCGAACGCCCCGCAAGGGGAGUGGCAGACGGGUGAGUAACGCGUGGGAAUCUACCCAUCCCUACGGAACAACUCCGGGAAACUGGAGCUAAUACCGUAUACGCCCUACGGGGGAAAGAUUUAUCGCUGUUGGAUGAGCCUCUAUCGGAUUAGCUAGUUGGUAGGGUAAUGGCCUACCAAGGCAAUGAUCCGUAGCUGGUCUGAGAGGAUGAUCAGCCACACUGGAACUGAGACACGGUCCAGACUCCUACGGGAGGCAGCAGUGGGGAAUAUUGGACAAUGGGCGAAAGCCUGAUCCAGCAAUACCGCGUGAAUGAUGAAGGCCUUCGGGUUGUAAAAUUCUUUUAGUGGGGAAGAUAAUGACGGUACCCACAGAAAAAGCACCGGCUAACUUCGUGCCAGCCGCCGCGGUAA